CCACCUUGUAAAGAAUGUCAGAACGGCUCUGCACUGUGAGCCUAGAGCCUGAUGUGAGGCUCAGACUCACAAACCUGUGAAAUCACGAGCUGAGAAAUUAAGAAUUGGAUGCUUAACCGACUGAGCCACACAGGAGCCCCUUGGAAUUACGUUCUAAUUGUGGGAGCGCUCUACCUAAUCAGCAUCACCUGCUGUCUCAGUCUUAACUAUAGGCGGCAUUUAGAGGAAAAUGCAGUACUUCCCCCUUAUCCGCAGUUUCGCUUUCCACAGUUUUAGUUCCCACUGUCAACUGAGGUCUGGAAGCCAGCGAUCCUCCUUCUGACGAAUCAUCAGAAGGUUAAUAGCAGUCUGACUCUACCUCGCAAUGCCUGCAUCUUUCGCCGGGCUUGGUCUCCUUACACAGGCGUUUUAUCAUCUCCCGACAUCAGAACAAGAAUGUCCAAAUUGGACAUUUUCCAGGAGGUGGUCUAUUUGCAACUGACAAAAGUCAAAAGUUUGUGGUGUUCCAAGAAUUGAAACAGGAAAUGUGCAUGGGUCCUGCUUCCUUCAAGGUCUGUCCAACUCCAUUUUGACUGGAAGUCACUCAUGAUCCCUUUCAGAAGGAAUUGUCAGCACAAACAAUGCAGAUUACAAGAUGAAAAAAUCCAAACCAAAGCACAUGCACAAACCUCCCAGGUGUAAAGACUGGGAAUAGGCCAUUGAAUGGAUGAGAAACAUCAUGUACAAAGAUUCAAAACUUAUGUGGAAUGGCAUGUUCUGGAGGUUGGGGAGUCCAAGAUCAAGAUGCCAGCAGAUACGGUGUGUGAGAGCCUACUUCCUGGUUUAUAGAUGGCCAUCUUUUCACUGUGUUCUUUCUGCGUGAUGGAAGAGGUAGCUACUAUCCAACUUAUCCAAGUUUAAGCCAUAAGAAAAUGCAUGGACUUCUGUACCUGAGAAGAAACUGGAAAGAAAAAAAAUAACACAGAAUCCAAGCAUGAGCUGAAGAAACUGGAGCCCCAGGAACUGAAGGGACUUCAGACUGCAGCUAGGCCGUCGUGGACAAGCUGACUUCGAAUCAAAACUAAACCACACUAAACUAAAAUUACACAAAGCAUGAGAUUGAGAUAAGGGGAUGACAAGUAUCCAGCUGCCAUCUGCUAAAUAACGUGAUGAUAAAUAUGGGCUCUAUUGCUCCAAUAACAUUGCCGCAGACUUAUCAGAUCAGAAGCUUUUUGGAUCCAUCUGAAUAAGAGGAGUACCUGAUAGACUUUUCACCUAUGGAAGGCUGACAGCAAGGAGAGAAAGCAGAAACUUCCUUUGGCUUUAUCAUAAUGCUGAUGAGGAGGAAGAGGGGAAGAAUCAAGAGUGCUUCAACCUUUGCAUGGAAAUCACAUAUGUAACAUGAAAGUAUUUCUCUGCUAACUAUUAUCUAUUAAUUUGGGGGAGACUUAGGAGGACUAUAUGUUUUGAAUCCCCAAUAACUGCCAGGCAUAAUAGCAGGCAUUUUGCCUAACGAAAAAGAACUAACAUUUGCUAAAUGUCUCUAGAUACUAGAAACCAGGCUCCUUUCUAUAUAUACAUUUCAUUGAAUCCACUAAUCCUCAGAAUGUGAAACCUUCUUUUUGGCAAGUGAAGAAAUAAUUUCCAAAGGUUUGCAGACAAAGCGAGUAAGUAGAAGAGGCAGGGAUUAAACAGGUCUGAACAAUCACCACAUUUUACUCUUUCAAAAAUACCAAGUUAGUACAACCAGGAAAGUAAAAAUCCUAUUAACAACUAGGGGAUCAUCGAUAUAGCACUUCUUAGAGUUAUUAUAUUAUUAACAUUUUUUUCAAAUGCAGUUUCUAUAUUGAAGGGAAUGUAAUAUGCAAAUAUUUUAAAGGGUCUUACAGGUAAUUAAAAAUAUCAAAGACAUUAAAAAGCAUCCCAGGUAUUUUUGUUUUCAUUCCAAAAUUUUUCAACAAACCUUUUUUUUUCUUUUUAAGCCUAAGGUAAAUUUCAGAACAACCAUUAUCAACAUUAUUUAAAUCUCUUAAUAGAUGGAGACUAAAGUAUUAAAGUUGUAUCACUAUGGAUGAAGAGCUUCAUUCUCUUAGAAUGGCUGUCUUGUCAAUUCUCUGAAUUUAUUUCAUAAUUGCUGAUACACAUCUUCUUACAUAAUCCUACCACUUAAGAGAGUGGCUGGAGGCCUACCCAUUUCUCAUCCAGGUUUUUUCAAAUCUCUCCUCUCUCAUCUGAUCUCAUAGUUUCUCUGCUGUUUUUGUCUGGUGACCAUCCUCACUAAAUACAUUAGGUUCUAGACUUUUUUUUUAAUAUCAAAGCCACUUCUCCUGGUAUGUGCUAAGCAUAUUGAGGGAAAGGACAAAAUGUUAUCAUUUUUUCUAUCAUUUACAAUACCCAUUAACAGGCAGAUACCAAAAGAGAUACAUGACAGUCAAGAACUAUGGAGUAGAUUUAAGAUCAGAUGUAUAGGUUUGUUAUCAAAUCCUUUUGUGUCACUUACUUAGCUGUGCAAACUUAGGCAAAUUAAUUAACUCUCAUUUAUAAAAUGGAAACCCAAAAGCUUUACAGGUUUUUUCAUGAAACUUUAUAAAGUUGUCUCACAGCCCUUAUUUUCAAAGAAUAGCCAGCGGUUAUUGGAAAUAUACCAAUAGUGUACAUUGAAUAAAUUACUUAGCCUUGUUAAGGCAUAGUUUUCUUGUCCACAAAAUGAAUAUGAAAAUAAUUGUUAUCUCGCAGGACUAUAAUGGCUAUUGAAUAAGGUGAUAUAACUACAUUUCUUAGCAGAGUGUUUCCAUAAAUGUUCAACUAUUUCAACAGUUUGGCCACGUGCCCCAAAAUGACACCUGACGUUCCGUCUUCUUAAAUCCAGUCUACUUCCUCAGUCCCUGUGUGCUUUGCUUAUCCUGGAAGAAGUCUAGAACUUCAAGUAGAAGAGAAGAGGACAGAAGUUGUCUGCUAGAACAAGAACAAAUGGCUAAAGGGUCUGAGAGUUGAAUAACUGCCCUUAUAUUGUUAAGUGAUAAGAAAUACUCAUGUGAAAUCAUAUUGUCAAACAGAAAACAAAUAUUAAAAGGAAUGUUAUGAGUCUUUUGAAAUGCGGCAAAAGGAGCGAUGGUUAAAAUUUUAACAAGUGAGAGUCAUUAGCUAAACAAAUCCUGACAGCUUCACAGUCACAGAGACACCUAACAAAGGCUUGAUUUGUGAGACGCCCUUAAUAGUCCCUUUGCAUUUCCCUCAAACAUUCCGUUUUGUUCCUCUACUGUGGACCCUAAAGUGUCAUUCCCUAUUUCUCUCUGCUAGCCAUAUAUGUUUAAAAAGUAUAGCUAACGUUUCCCUUCAUCGAUGAUCAGAAGAGAGAUUCUCUCCUGCAUCUUGCUGUAUUGAUCCUCUUUAAAAAGAGGGACAUUGCUGACAAAAAUGAAUCAAUUGAUGCCUUUAAGCUUUCAGAAUGAAGACUUUCUUUCUUAGGUUUUGCCAUUUUCUCUCAAAUGAUAAAACAGCAGUUGGUUCUCUUUGCCCCACUCUAAAUAAGACUAAAAGGUUAUGGAUUAUGCCAUACAUAAUUUAUAGUACUUAAGACAAAGGCGACCUGAUAGAAAUACACUUUAAUGAACACCUACCAAAUGCGAGGCUAUAUGGUAUUUAAUUUACAUGUAAUUCUCUUGUAAUUCUCAUAAAGGUAUAAUGGGGUAGGAAAUAUUAACCUUAUUUUGCAGUCAAGGAAACCAAGGUCAGAAGUUUGAAAAUAAAUGACAAUAAAAAUCCCUCACGGAACAAUACAUGUAGAAGUGCUUGAGAGAGAAAUGGAAUGAGAAAUGUAUUCCAUUUAUUCACUUUCUAGCAGGGAAAAAUAUUAUUAUUACUAAUAGUUCAUGUUAUAUUCAUACUUCAAAUUUAUUUUGAGUCUUAUUAUAUUUUCAUUUCAUUUCAAUUUUAAUAUGAACUGAAUAAUAGAACUUUUAGUUACAAUUUUCUUACUGAAUUACUUCAAUCCCCCCCUCCCCCUGCCAUAGAAGCAUAUCCCAAAUUUUCCAGAGCAGUUGGUUGGCUAAGAAAGCCAUAUUUUUUCGAUAGAGAAAUGUACUUUAUACAGAACUGGCCAAGAGUAAAUCCCCUUUUACAUUAGCUAAGUAUAAACAUGUGCAUUGACUCAAAAAUAAAUGUCUGUUAUU